rnacentral:misc_RNA from 1 species
GUAUGCUGCUCAGACAUCUUGUAUAUCUAGGUGGCUAGGUUGCAUUUGUAUUUGACAACAUGCUACUCUAUAUAAAUGUGAGUAAAUCAACUUGCCUGCAAAACUGCCUACGGAAAGAGGCAAUACCUGCAUUGUUAGCAAUAACUCGAGUAUGGCUUUGGUUUUGAUAAAAAUCUCUCAUCACGGAAAGUUUUCUUUUUCUGCAAUUCUGUUAUGUGCAUUAAUUUUUAUGUUGCAUAUGAUGUGCAAAUAGAGGUUUUCAUCAACAUCAAACUAGAUGUGUCUCGCAGAACCUCUGCUCCGUUACUUUCUCUGGGGGAUGUAUGUGCUUAAUAAAAAAUUACUGAAUCAUAUUUUUAUUUUUGUCAGUUGCCUCAUACAACUUGUUUUAUUAUUUUGUUUAUAUUGUCUUGAUUUCAGGAAAAUCAUCAAAGAGGUUAGCA